UUUAGAGUUUGAUCCUGGCUCAGAUUGAACGCUGGCGGCAUGCCUUACACAUGCAAGUCGAACGGUAACAGGUUAAGCUGACGAGUGGCGAACGGGUGAGUAAUAUAUCGGAACGUGCCCAGUCGUGGGGGAUAACUGCUCGAAAGAGCAGCUAAUACCGCAUACGACCUGAGGGUGAAAGCGGGGGAUCGCAAGACCUCGCGCGAUUGGAGCGGCCGAUAUCAGAUUAGGUAGUUGGUGGGGUAAAAGCCUACCAAGCCAACGAUCUGUAGCUGGUCUGAGAGGAUGAUCCGCCACACUGGGACUGAGACACGGCCCAGACUCCUACGGGAGGCAGCAGUGGGGAAUUUUGGACAAUGGGCGCAAGCCUGAUCCAGCCAUGCCGCGUGCGGGAAGAAGGCCUUCGGGUUGUAAAGCGCUUUUGUCAGGGAAGAAAACGGCAAGGUUAAACC
rnacentral:rRNA from 1 species